AGAGUUUGAUCCUGGCUCAGGACGAACGCUGGCGGCGUGCUUAACACAUGCAAGUCGAACGAGAAUCUACUGAAAGAGUUUUCGGACAAUGGAAGUAGAGGAAAGUGGCGGACGGGUGAGUAACGCGUGAGGAACCUGCCUUGAAGAGGGGGACAACAGUUGGAAACGACUGCUAAUACCGCAUGAAGCAUAGGGGUCGCAUGAUCUUUAUGCCAAAGAUUUAUCGCUUCAAGAUGGCCUCGCGUCUGAUUAGCUGGUUGGCGGGGUAACGGCCCACCAAGGCGACGAUCAGUAGCCGGACUGAGAGGUUGAACGGCCACAUUGGGACUGAGAUACGGCCCAGACUCCUACGGGAGGCAGCAGUGGGGAAUAUUGGGCAAUGGGCGCAAGCCUGACCCAGCAACGCCGCGUGAAGGAAGAAGGCUUUCGGGUUGUAAACUUCUUUUAAGAGGGAAGAGCAGAAGACGGUACCUCUAGAAUAAGCCACGGCUAACUACGUGCCAGCAGCCGCGGUAAUACGUAGGUGGCAAGCGUUGUCCGGAUUUACUGGGUGUAAAGGGCGUGCAGCCGGGUCUGCAAGUCAGAUGUGAAAUCCAUGGGCUCAACCCAUGAACUGCAUUUGAAACUGUAGAUCUUGAGUGUCGGAGGGGCAAUCGGAAUUCCUAGUGUAGCGGUGAAAUGCGUAGAUAUUAGGAGGAACACCAGUGGCGAAGGCGGAUUGCUGGACGAUAACUGACGGUGAGGCGCGAAAGUGUGGGGAGCAAACAGGAUUAGAUACCCUGGUAGUCCACACUGUAAACGAUGAAUACUAGGUGUGCGGGGACUGACCCCCUGCGUGCCGCAGUAAACACAAUAAGUAUUCCACCUGGGGAGUACGAUCGCAAGGUUGAAACUCAAAGGAAUUGACGGGGGCCCGCACAAGCGGUGGAUUAUGUGGUUUAAUUCGAAGCAACGCGAAGAACCUUACCAGGGUUUGACAUCCUGCUAACGAAGUAGAGAUACAUUAGGUGCCCUUCGGGGAAAGCAGAGACAGGUGGUGCAUGGUUGUCGUCAGCUCGUGUCGUGAGAUGUUGGGUUAAGUCCCGCAACGAGCGCAACC
rnacentral:rRNA from 1 species